CCUACGGGAGGCAGCAGUGAGGAAUAUUGGUCAAUGGGCGUAAGCCUGAACCAGCCAAGUCGCGUGAGGGAUGAAGGUUCUGUGGAUCGUAAACCUCUUUUAUAAGGGAAUAAAGUGCGGGACGUGUCCCGGGAUGUGUGUACCUGAUGAAUAAGGAUCGGCUAACUCCGUGCCAGCAGCCGCGGUAAUACGGAGGAUCCGAGCGUUAUCCGGAUUUAUUGGGUUUAAAGGGUGCGUAGGCGGCCUUUUAAGUCAGCGGUGAAAGUCUGUGGCUCAACCAUAGAAUUGCCGUUGAAACUGGCAGUCUUGAGUUGGUUGGAGGCAGGCGGAAUGCGUGGUGUAGCGGUGAAAUGCUUAGAUAUCACGCAGAACCCCGAUUGCGAAGGCAGCCUGCC
rnacentral:rRNA from 1 species